CUGGCCAAGGACAGCAGCAGGGCUGAACAGUUCGUGCUGGACAGCCGGCCCUACCUGCUGAGCCCUCAGGCCUCCCUGCGAGAGGCGGCCCUCAGGAUCUUUGGGCUGGCUGCACGGCACCUGACAGAGCAGAACGAGGAGACCAUGGCUGCUGUCCUCUCGGAACUCGGCACAAUGGAGACACGAGAGAAGGAUCCCUCCAUCCGUUGCCUGGCAGCUCAGACCAGCCUGAUCCUCACCUCUCUGAGGGACCAGCGAAAAUCGGGAUUGUCCCUGCGCACGCUGUGCUGCUGGUGCCACUGAGCAGAGAGGGACCUUCACAUCCAGGGACACCAAGUCCGACACCUGCUCAACCAUCAGGUGUGCAAAGGACGCCCUGGCUUUGGAAGGUCCCUCUCAAAGCGCGGCCAUGACCGGCCGCUCAAAACGAGGACAGAGAUCCAGAUCCUCGUCCUGGGGAAGCUGCUGGGACAUCUUUUCAAGGCACUCAAGACACAAAAACUGAUUUAUGGCUCUGGAUGGCCUCUGCAGCCGCUCCAAGUCCAUCUGUUGGCCACAGAGAAGGCUCCUCGGUGCCCGGAUCUGGCUCUCUGAAAUCCUCAUGGAGGAGUCAGUGUGGCUGGAUCCAAGCCCAGCCACAGACCGCUCCGAACCCCCUAUAACUCUAUAAAAUUAAUUACUUUAGGUAUAUCAUUUAUAUAAGUAAACAAGAUAGAUAAAUUAUAUAUGUUCCUAACAUAUCUAUAUAUUAGGAACAUAUAUAUAUUAUUAAUAUAUAUUAGGUAUUUUAUGAAAAUAUAUAUACAUUAGGAGUUUAUAAUAUAGAUAAUGAGUAUAUUCAAUAAAUGUUAUUGUCUAUUACAUAUA